GACGAACGCUGGCGGCGUGCUUAACACAUGCAAGUCGAACGGAAAGGCCCUGCUUUUGUGGGGUGCUCGAGUUGCGAACGGGUGAGUAACACGUGAGUAACCAGCCCUUGACUUUGGGAUAACUUCAGGAAACUGGGGCUAAUACCGGAUAGGAGCUCCUGCUGCAUGGUGGGGGUUGGAAAGUUUCGGCGGUUGGGGAUGGACUCGCGGCUUAUCAGCUUGUUGGUGGGGUAGUGGCUUACCAAGGCUUUGACGGGUAGCCGGCCUGAGAGGGUGACCGGCCACAUUGGGACUGAGAUACGGCCCAGACUCCUACGGGAGGCAGCAGUGGGGAAUAUUGCACAAUGGGCGGAAGCCUGAUGCAGCAACGCCGCGUGCGGGAUGACGGCCUUCGGGUUGUAAACCGCUUUCGCCUGUGACGAAGCGUGAGUGACGGUAAUGGGUAAAGAAGCACCGGCUAACUACGUG
rnacentral:rRNA from 1 species